UUGCUUCAGCAGAACAUAUACUAAAAUUGGAACGAUACAGAAAAGAUUAGCAUGGCCCCUGCACAAGCAUGACAUGCAAAUUCAUGAAGUAUUCCACAUUUUU
ensembl:snRNA U6 U6 spliceosomal RNA